rnacentral:rRNA from 1 species
AUACGGAGGGGGCAAGCGUUGUUCGGAAUUACUGGGCGUAAAGGGCGCGUAGGCGGAUUAUCAAGUCAGAGGUGAAAGCCCUGGGCUCAACCUGGGAACUGCCUUUGAAACUGAUAGUCUUGAGGCCGGAAGAGGAUGGCGGAAUUCCCAGUGUAGAGGUGAAAUUCGUAGAUAUCAGAAGGAAUACCAGUGGCGAAGGCGGCCCCCUGGCCCAAUACUGACGCUGAGGUACGAAAGCGUGGGUAGCGAACGGGAUUAGAAACCCCGGUAGUCC